rnacentral:rRNA from 1 species
GAUGAACGCUAGCUACAGGCUUAACACAUGCAAGUCGCGGGGCAGCAUGGGGGUUGCUUGCAAUCCCCGAUGGCGACCGGCGCACGGGUGAGUAACGCGUAUCCAACCUGCCCUUCACCACGGGAUAACCCGGCGAAAGUCGGACUAAUACCGUAUGUUGUCCAUUGACGGCAUCCGAUUUGGACGAAAGGGUUGGCGGUGAAGGAUGGGGAUGGGUCCGAUUAGCUGGACGGCGGGGUGACGGCCCACCGUGGCGACGAUCGGUAGGGGUUCUGAGAGGAAGGUCCCCCACACUGGAACUGAGACACGGUCCAGACUCCUACGGGAGGCAGCAGUGAGGAAUAUUGGUCAAUGGGCGUAAGCCUGAACCAGCCAAGUAGCGUGCAGGAUGACGGCCCUAUGGGUUGUAAACUGCUUUUAUGCGGGGAUAAAGUGGCCCACGUGUGGGUUUUUGCAGGUACCGCAUGAAUAAGGACCGGCUAAUUCCGUG